rnacentral:rRNA from 1 species
GACGAACGCUGGCGGCGUGCCUAAUACAUGCAAGUCGAACGAACCGCGACUAGGUGCUUGCACUUGGUCAAGGUGAGUGGCGAACGGGUGAGUAACACGUGGGUAACCUACCUCAUAGUGGGGGAUAACAGUCGGAAACGACUGCUAAUACCGCAUAGGACAUAGGAUCACAUGAUCCAGUGAGGAAAGGUGGCGCAAGCUAUCGCUAAGAGAUGGACCCGCGGUGCAUUAGCUAGUUGGUAGGGUAAAGGCCUACCAAGGCGAUGAUGCAUAGCCGACCUGAGAGGGUGAUCGGCCACAUUGGGACUGAGACACGGCCCAACCUCCUACGGGAGGCAGCAGUGGGGAAUCUUCCGCAAUGGACGCAAGUCUGACGGAGCAACGCCGCGUGAGUGAAGAAGGUCUUCGGAUCGUAAAGCUCUGUUGUUAGAGAAGAACAGCGCAUAGAGUAACUGUUAUGCGUGUGACGGUAUCUAACCAGAAAGCCACGGCUAACUACGUG